CUAAAAGAAUGGAAGUUUAAGAAAAAACUUUUUUAAAAAUAAAAAUUAAAUUUUUUUUAAUUUGUGCAAAACCAAUUAUUUAUAUUAAAGACAAGAAGACCCUAUGAAUUUAUGAUUAAAUAAACUAAAAAUUUUUAGUUUAUUUAAUCUUGAUUGGGGCAAUCAAAAAAUA
rnacentral:rRNA from 1 species